GCAGUGGUGGCGGAAUUGGUAGACGCGCAGGACUUAGAAUCCUGUGUCCUUAAAUAAGACUUGAGGGUUCGAUUCCCUCCCACUGCA
rnacentral:tRNA from 1 species